GUCAGCGAAUCUUACACAAUGACAAUGGUAGCUUCUCUCUAUUUUAUCUCGCUCGGCGCCUCGGCUGUCCUCUUCAGCUCCACCAUGUAUCCAAGAAACGCAACCCCAAUUUCUGAGUUCUCUGGAUACCACACAAAUGAUCAGAGAAAUGGUACCAACACUCAUAAUCCCAAGUUCCAAACCAAUAUAUUUUCAAAAUCUUUUCUUACAAAAUCCAUCCCAAAUCACUUUCUUUACUCAAUCCACCCAAAUCCACCCACUCCAUAAUUCAGUAUCCACAAAUCCAAUCGCCCCCAAAUCAACCCACUUCUUCAAAGCCGGCAACAGUUCAUCUGGCACGAUUACCGACGAUAACAGAGAAGCUGCCAUGCCAACCAUGUCUGAAAUCAUGGAAGCAUCAAAAGCCCAGAACCUCCGCCUUCAGCUCCGAAAGCUCGGACCCUUUUUCAGAAUCACGGCCGAAAGCUUGGAAACAGGGCGAGAGAUCGGGAGAGCCGAGGGGAUGAUAAGGUUGUGGGUGGGAUCUGGGCGAAUUCUUCACUUGGAUUCCAUUAGAUUGCGCGGCGAGACGGUGGGGAUGGAGAGAUCCAUUUUUGGAAUCGGUUUGUUCAUCGGCGCGGUCAUGGUUCGGUAUGGGUAUGACUGUGGUUGCAGGAAAGCAGAGUUGCUGGCUAUCAAUGACUCCGAUCUUUACCAUUCCAAGCUUGUUAGAUUCUACACCCGAGUUGGGUUCAAGGCUGUGCACCAAGUGAGUGGUUCGUCCAUGGGAGACCUUGCCCACAUGUUGGUGUGGGGAGGCAAGGGCACCCGGAUGGAUGCCAGCAUUGAAGAGCUUCUGAUAAAAUGGUGCACCAGGUUAGUACGUUCAAGAUGAAAAAGAAAAAAAAAAAAUCUGAUUGAAGAGGACUAAGAAGAUUAAAAAAAAAAAAUGAAGAAGAAUAGAGGAGAUGAAGAAGAUGGUCAGAGUUUUGCGUGGAUGGUUAAGAGUAAGCACGACAAUCCAAAUAAAGGAGAGCCUGGUGCUUGCAUAGAGAGAGAGAGAGAGAGAGAGAGAACUAGUGAAUUAGAGGAAGACACGAGAGAAAUAGAGAGAGAAGCUGUGACAAGUAGCCGACAGUGUCACUCCAUCGACAGAGAAGGAAGAAGACUGUGUGAUGGCCUGGGGUUUCGUUCAACGGCUGCAUCAACAAAGGCAAUGGUGGCUGGUUGUGCGAAGAAGAAGAUGAAGAACGACAUGCCAUCAGUGGUAGCAAGCUACUCCCGGCGAAUCAGACAAAUGGGAAACGUCUGCUGGUGUUCUGGUGGCAACGAAGAGGCGAGCAACAGUGGUGGAUCAUCGCCGCUAACUACGCUGGUGGUUGGGGAAGCAUUACCUGCAAAGUUCAAUUGCUGGGAACCCUCUAGUUGAGGGAAAAUAAUAUAGGGCUAAUUUUCUUGUUAAAGGAGGAGAAAUGGGAAACAAUAUAAUCUACGAAGAACAACACAUUUUACCACAUUAUCUGAAAGGUAUUCUUUAGAUGGAUAGGUGAGGUCUCGUUUCCGUUCGUCGUUAGUUCAAUUCUAGAGUUUCGUUUGGUGUAUUUUGUUUUGAUUUCGGUUAUAUUUAUGUUUUUAUCUUCUGUGUUAAUUAUUUUUAUUUUUGUUGUCCUAAUUUGGUUGGUUGCUAGUUUUGGAAGGGUUUUUUCUAUACUCUCCCUUUUGUUUUAUCUUGUAACCACAGUAUUCUUUCGUCAAAAGUGAGGGUAUAUUAAAAAUAAAUGAAGGUGCCGCCCUAAAAAAAAUGUAAAAAUUCAAAAAAAUUAAGAAGUCAAGAAUCAAAAAUAGGAAAUUUUCCCAAUGUAUAUAUAGUUUUGAUCUUACUUAACUUUGUGCUUUUACGGAAUUAGAGUUUCUAAUUAA